rnacentral:lncRNA from 1 species
AAAACCAGUCAUCUGCAGAUAGUCAAAACGACUGCAAGAUGACUGUUUUUUUUUUACCAAAGUAGACCUUCAUCAUGCAAUAUUAACGAUUUCCUGAUUAUGUUACUCCUGUUCGAAUCUUAAACUUAAAAAAUUGGGGGAGAACAGUAACCAUAAAAAUGACCUUUUUGGCUCUUUUUAGUGUUUAUAAAAUAAAAUAAAAAGAUUCUCUAACCGAGUUGUAAUUAAAAAUACUGAGUUUGAUUGAUACAAAUCGUUCUUUUUGAGAGUAAAUAAGAUUAUAUAUACCGCUCUUUACCCCGCUUAAAGUCGAGACGGGUUAAAGAGCCACACCCAUCUUAUCAAUGCUUAAUUUAAUAAUUAAGAAUGCUUUUAUCUCUUAAUAUUGACAACUGUGCAACUUGGCUAGGCACUCGCUCGAUCAAAUUUGUAUUCCGCACUUGGUUCUGUUUUUUUUUUUCACCCAUCUUAUGAAAAUGAUAUAAAUGCAACUGAUUUAUGAACGUCUCCAGAAGGUUUCACUUUCGACUGACCCUGUAGUAAAUGGUUAUCAAUUAUGAAAGUUCACAACUGGAUAGGAGAGAGAGUGAGAGAAGUUAUUUUGAUGGGGCGGAGUUGGAUUCUGAGAGGGGUUAUCGCCAUGGUAACGGGAUAAGAGGACGAGGGGUUGCUUUGUCGAAAGGCACGUUGAAUGGGAUGUCCCCGACACGGCGGAUACAGACAGACACACACAAGAUAAACGACACGUCCCUUGUUGGGACUGGAAAGAGGGCACGCGCGUGACCUACAACCGAAAUGGCGUCUACCGUCGACGGGGAGAAAAAAGAGGGGCCACUUAUGUGACGUGACAGACUGAUAACCACGGCGUGACGAAACUGAAUGCCGCCGCUAUGGAUUCACUUAGUAUUAAGGACACUAGACCGAGAACAGUGACUGUUUUUGAGGAAUUUUUCUCACGACCGAAUGUAUUAAGAGGGAUGGUUGUAAGUAUAACAAAAUCAGUUAUUUCUUUGGAGGGGAUCAUAUUUGACCGUGAUGUCGGUAUUUUGUAUCGUUUUUAUCUUUUUUUAUAUGGGGAGGAGCAUUACGCUCCUCCUAUAAAGGCGGUGCCAGCAAAUUCUCCACUUCUACUCACGUAUGCAUUUUGAUCAAUUCUCUUUUCUAUGGACAAUAAAAGAAAACGAAUCCGAUUAAUAUCCAGUCGAUAUCCUUUAGCGGUCGCUGGGAGAUGAGAAGAAAAAAAAAUUCUCUUUCAGUGACGUCACUUGAACCACACCCUUAGCUGGAUUCAUACUCAUACAUUGAAUUUUUUUUUUCUUGUUUUUUUUAAUCAGGCGCAUCGAAUGUGGAAACGGGUGGUUGCCAACCCAGCGUUGGUAGUUGGGAAUGUAGACAGGUGGUGAAAAUUACCUGCGCGUGAAGUCGUCCAGGUUUUGAUGGUGUUAAAGUGUCAAAGAUCAUUUCUGGAUAAUUACCGUAAUGGCUUUCAAAGUGUAAACCAGUUUUUUAAAUCAAUUAUUGUUAUUGAAUAAUAUUUGAGUUUAUUGAGUUACGUUAAUGGUCUUCUGUACACUAUAAGUAGAGAUAAAUAACUCGCACCAGGCUCACAUUUUAACUUUGAUAUUUUCGGAAGUUUUAGCAACAAAUACUGGAUCUUUAUAGAUAUUUAAGGUCUAGUUCCCAUUUCGGAAUUGUUUUUUCCUCCCUCCCUCCCUCCAUUCGACUUUCCUGCAUUACAGGCUUUGGGAUCCAUUCUUCUUUUUUUUUACUCGGAAGAUUAAAUUAAUGGUUUUGCUUUCUGUUUUUAUUGUUGUUCUUAAUGAAAAUGUUUUCGUACUUAAAGAUUAAAUUAAAACUUUUUAAAGCCUAUCGAAAUAAUAAAAAGUCUGUUUUAAGAACAGAUUUGCGACAGAAUGAAUGUAGAAAUAUUCUUAAACAGAAUAUAAUAUUGAUACUAAAUCUCAUAUAAACAGAAAACUAGUAAAUAAAUACAACCUACAAACAUUUAAACUGAAUAGCAUACAUAUUAUCUAACAUGUAGGUUAUAGAGCUAUGAUGGCCAAAUUGCUGAUGGCGAGCCAAACUGCUGCUCUUUGAUACCUUCAAUGUGGCUCCAUAGCAUGAAACUCUCAAUAAUUAAUAAACAGUUGCUGAUGGC